GGUGCCCGUACCGCAAACCGACACAGGUAGGCGAGGAGAGAAUCCUAAGGUGAGCGAGAGAACUCUCGUUAAGGAACUCGGCAAAAUGACCCCGUAACUUCGGGAGAAGGGGUGCUUUUUAGGGUGAAUAGCCCUGAAGAGCCGCAGUGAAUAGGCCCAGGCGACUGUUUAGCAAAAACACAGGUCUCUGCGAAGCCGCAAGGCGAAGUAUAGGGGCUGACGCCUGCCCGGUGCUGGAAGGUUAAGAGGAGGGGUUAGCUCACGCGAAGCUCUGAAUCGAAGCCCCAGUAAACGGCGGCCGUAACUAUAACGGUCCUAAGGUAGCGAAAUUCCUUGUCGGGUAAGUUCCGACCCGCACGAAAGGCGUAACGAUCUGGGCACUGUCUCAACGAGAGACUCGGUGAAAUUAUAGUACCUGUGAAGAUGCAGGUUACCCGCGACAGGACGGAAAGACCCCGUGGAGCUUUACUGUAGCCUGAUAUUGAAUUUUGGUACAGCUUGUACAGGAUAGGUAGGAGCCUGAGAAGCCGGAGCGCCAGCUUCGGUGGAGGCGUCGGUGGGAUACUACCCUGGCUGUAUUGAAAUUCUAACCCGCACCCCUUAUCGGGGUGGGAGACAGUGUCAGGUGGGCAGUUUGACUGGGGCGGUCGCCUCCUAAAGAGUAACGGAGGCGCCCAAAGGUUCCCUCAGAAUGGUUGGAAAUCAUUCGUAGAGUGUAAAGGCACAAGGGAGCUUGACUGCGAGACCUACAAGUCGAGCAGGGACGAAAGUCGGGCUUAGUGAUCCGGUGGUUCCGCAUGGAAGGGCCAUCGCUCAACGGAUAAAAGCUACCCCGGGGAUAACAGGCUUAUCUCCCCCAAGAGUCCACAUCGACGGGGAGGUUUGGCACCUCGAUGUCGGCUCAUCGCAUCCUGGGGCUGUAGUCGGUCCCAAGGGUUGGGCUGUUCGCCCAUUAAAGCGGUACGCGAGCUGGGUUCAGAACGUCGUGAGACAGUUCGGUCCCUAUCCGUCGUGGGCGCAGGAAAUUUGAGAGGAGCUGUCCUUAGUACGAGAGGACCGGGAUGGACGCACCGCUGGUGUACCAGUUGUCUUGCCAAAGGCAUCGCUGGGUAGCUAUGUGCGGACGGGAUAAGUGCUGAAAGCAUCUAAGCAUGAAGCCCCCCUCAAGAUGAGAUUUCCCAUAGCGUCAAGCUAGUAAGAUCCCUGAAAGAUGAUCAGGUUGAUAGGUCAGAGGUGGAAGC
rnacentral:rRNA from 1 species